rnacentral:rRNA from 1 species
UACGUAGGGAGCGAGCGUUGUCCGGAUUUAUUGGGCGUAAAGAGCGUGUAGGCGGCUUCACAGGUCCGCUGUGAAAACUCGAGGCUCAACCUCGAGCUGUCGGUGGAAACCGUGUGGCUAGAGUCCGGAAGAGGAGAGUGGAAUUCCCGGUGUAGCGGUGAAAUGCGCAGAUAUCGGGAAGAACACCCGUGGCGAAGGCGGCUCUCUGGGACGGUACUGACGCUGAGACGCGAAAGCGUGGGGAGCGAACAGG